GCGUUAGCCCAUACCACCCUGAACUCGCAGCAUCUUGCAAGCCAAGCAGGGUCGGGCCUGGUUAGUACUUGCAUGGGAGACUGCCUGGGAAUACCGGGUGCUGGAGGCU
rnacentral:rRNA from 1 species